rnacentral:lncRNA from 1 species
UAACACCUAAUUGCGAGCUAUGUGGAACCCCUGGGAACAACACUCGUGAAUUCCAAUUAUUGGCUGGAAUUCUAUUAGACCAAUUGAAUUAUGCCCAAGGAAACCCGUACUCUAAUGCCUACAAUCCUGGUUGGAGGAAUCAUCCUAACUUUUCUUAUAUUAACAAUAAUGUGUUGUUUGCUCAUAUCCCAACACCUACCACCCCCUCCUGG